AGCGUAAUAGCUCACUAGUCGAGUCGUCCUGCGCGGAAGAUGUAACGGGGCUCAAGCCAUGAACCGAAGCUGCGGAUGUGUCUUUGACACGUGGUAGGGGAGCGUUCCGUAAGCCUGCGAAGGUGUCUCGUAAGGGAUGCUGGAGGUAUCGGAAGUGCGAAUGCUGACAUGAGUAGCGAUAAAGGGUGUGAAAAGCACCCUCGCCGUAAGCCCAAGGUUUCCUGCGCAACGUUCAUCGGCGCAGGGUGAGUCGGCCCCUAAGGCGAGGCAGAAAUGCGUAGUCGAUGGGAAACAGGUCAAUAUUCCUGUACCGCUCUUAGAUGCGAUGGGGGGACGGAGAAGGUUAGCUCGGCCAUCUGUUGGAAUAGGUGGUUUAAGCGUGUAGUCGUGCCGCGUAGGCAAAUCCGCGUGGCUUAGAUGAGGCGUGAUGACGAGGAUCCUCGGAUCCGAAGUGAGUGAUACCCAGCUUCCAGGAAAAGCCUCUAAGCUUCAGUCAUAGAGUGACCGUACCGCAAACCGACACAGGUGGGCUGGUAGAGAAUACCAAGGCGCUUGAGAGAACUCAGGAGAAGGAACUCGGCAAAUUGAUACCGUAACUUCGGGAGAAGGUAUGCCCCUGGUACGUGAAGGCCCUCGCGGCCGGAGCGGAACGGGGUCGCAGAGAAUCGGUGGCUGCGACUGUUUAUUAAAAACACAGCACUCUGCAAACACGAAAGUGGACGUAUAGGGUGUGACGCCUGCCCGGUGCCGGAAGGUUAAGUGAUGGGGUGCAAGCUCUUGAUCGAAGCCCCGGUAAACGGCGGCCGUAACUAUAACGGUCCUAAGGUAGCGAAAUUCCUUGUCGGGUAAGUUCCGACCUGCACGAAUGGCGUAACGAUGGCCACACUGUCUCCUCCUGAGACUCAGCGAAGUUGAAAUGUUUGUGAAGAUGCAAUCUCCCCGCGGCUAGACGGAAAGACCCCAUGAACCUUUACUGUAGCUUUGCAUUGGACUUUGACGGGACUUGUGUAGGAUAGGUGGGAGGCUAUGAAACCGGGACGCCAGUUCCGGCGGAGCCACCCUUGAAAUACCACCCUGGUGUCGUCGAGGUUCUAACCCAGGCCUGUGAAUCCAGGUCGGGGACCGUGCAUGGUGGGCAGUUUGACUGGGGCGGUCUCCUCCCAAAAGGUAACGGAGGAGUACGAAGGUCACCUAGGUACGGUCGGACAUCGUACUGAUAGUGCAAUGGCAAAAGGUGGCUUGACUGCGAGACCCACAAGUCGAGCAGGUGCGAAAGCAGGUCAUAGUGAUCCGGUGGUUCUGUAUGGAAGGGCCAUCGCUCAACGGAUAAAAGGUACUCUGGGGAUAACAGGCUUAUACCGCCCAAGAGUUCAUAUCGACGGCGGUGUUUGGCACCUCGAUGUCGGCUCAUCACAUCCUGGGGCUGUAGUCGGUCCCAAGGGUAUGGCUGUUCGCCAUUUAAAGUGGUACGUGAGCUGGGUUUAAAACGUCGUGAGACAGUUUGGUCCCUAUCUGCCGUGGGCGCUGGAAGUUUGAGAGGGCCUGCUCCUAGUACGAGAGGACCGGAGUGGACGCACCCCUGGUGUACCGGUUGUGACGCCAGUCGCAUCGCCGGGUAGCUAUGUGCGGAAGAGAUAACCGCUGAAAGCAUCUAAGCGGGAAACUCGCCUCAAGAUGAGACUUCCCCGGGGCCUCGAGCCCCCUGAAGGGUCGUUGAAGACCACAACGUUGAUAGGCCGGGUGUGUAAGCGUGGCAACACGUUCAGCUAACCGGUACUAAUUGCCCGUGUGGCUUGAUCCU
rnacentral:rRNA from 1 species